GACGAACGCUGGCGGCGUGCUUAACACAUGCAAGUCGAACGGAAAGGCCCUGCUUGCAGGGUACUCGAGUGGCGAACGGGUGAGUAACACGUGGGUGGUCUGCCCUGCACUUCUGGUUCAGCCUGGGCAACUGGGUCUAAUACCGGGUCGGAAGCUCUUUUCGUGUGUUGGGUGGGAAGUUGUUUUGGUGUAGGAUGAACUCGCGGCCUAUCAGCUUGUUGGUGGGGUGAUGGCCUACCAAGGCGGCGAUGGGUGGCCGGCCUGAGAGGGUGGACGGCCACAUUGGGACUGAGAUACGGCCCAGACUCCUACGGGAGGCAGCAGUGGGGAAUAUUGCACAAUGGGCGCAAGCCUGAUGCAGCGACGCCGCGUGGGGGAUGACGGCCUUCGGGUUGUAAACUCCUUUCGCUAGGGACGAAGCUUUUUGGAAAGGGACCUAGAUAAGAAGCACCGGCUACCUACGU
rnacentral:rRNA from 1 species